AUUGAACGCUGGCGGCAGGCCUAACACAUGCAAGUCGAACGAGUGGCGGACGGGUGAGUAAUGUCUGGGAAACUGCCUGCUGGCGGGGGAUAACUACUGGAAACGGUAGCUAAUACCGCAUACCAUCAGAUGUGCCCAGAUGGGUUUAGCUCGUUGGUGGGGUAACGGCUCACCAAGGCGACGAUCCCUAGCGGGUCUGAGAGGAUGACCAGCAACACUGGAACGGAGACACGGUCAGGAUUCCUACGGGAGGCAGCAGUGGGGAAUAUUGCACAAUGGGCGCAAGCCGGAUACAGCCAUGCCGCGUGGAUGAGGAAGGCCUUCGGGUUGUAAAGUACUUUCAGCGGGGAGGCGUUACCCGCAGAAGAAGCACCGGCUAACUCCGUGCCAGCAGCCGCGGUAAUAC
rnacentral:rRNA from 1 species